rnacentral:rRNA from 1 species
UGGGGAAUAUUGCACAAUGGGCGCAAGCCUGAUGCAGCAACGCCGCGUGAGGGACGACGGCCUUCGGGUUGUAAACCUCUUUUGGCAGGGAAGAAGCGAAAGUGACGGUACCUGCAGAAAAAGCACCGGCUAACUACGUGCCAGCAGCCGCGGUGAUACGUGGGGUGCAAGCGUUGUCCGGAAUUAUUGGGCGUAAAGAGCUCGUAGGCGGUUUGUCGCGUCUGCUGUGAAAACCCGAGGCUCAACCUCGGGCCUGCAGUGGGUACGGGCAAACUAGAGUGCGGUAGGGGAGAUUGGAAUUCCUGGUGUAGCGGUGGAAUGCGCAGAUAUCAGGAGGAACGCCGAUGGCUAAGGCAGAUCUCUGGGCCGUAACUGACGCUGAGGAGCGAAAGCAUGGGGAGCGAACA